GAUGAACGCUGGCGGCGUGCCUAAUACAUGCAAGUCGAGCGAACAGACGAGGAGCUUGCUCCUCUGACGUUAGCGGCGGACGGGUGAGUAACACGUGGAUAACCUACCUAUAAGACUGGGGUAACUUCGGGAAACCGGAGCUAAUACCGGAUAAUAUAUUGAACCGCAUGGUUCAAUAGUGAAAGACGGUUUUGCUGUCACUUAUAGAUGGAUCCGCGCCGCAUUAGCUAGUUGGUAAGGUAACGGCUUACCAAGGCGACGAUGCGUAGCCGACCUGAGAGGGUGAUCGGCCACACUGGAACUGAGACACGGUCCAGACUCCUACGGGAGGCAGCAGUAGGGAAUCUUCCGCAAUGGGCGAAAGCCUAACGGAGCAACGCCGCGUGAGUGAUGAAGGUCUUCGGAUCGUAAAACUCUGUUAUUAGGGAAGAACAAAUGUGUAAGUAACUAUGCACGUCUUGACGGUACCUAAUCAGAAAGCCACGGCUAACUACGUG
rnacentral:rRNA from 1 species